rnacentral:rRNA from 1 species
AUUGAACGCUGGCGGCAGGCCUAACACAUGCAAGUCGAGCGAGCGGCGGACGGGUGAGUAAUGUCUGGGAAACUGCCUGAUGGAGGGGGAUAACUACUGGAAACGGUAGCUAAUACCGCAUACCAUCAGAUGUGCCCAGAUGGGAUUAGCUAGGGGGUGGGGUAAUGGCUCACCUAGGCGACGAUCCCUAGCUGGUCUGAGAGGAUGACCAGCCACACGGGAACUGAGAAACGGCCCAGACUCCUACGGUAGGCAGCAUUGGGGAAUAUUGCACAAUGGGCGCAAGCCUGAUGCAGCCAGGCCGCUGGUAUGAAGAAGGCCUUCGGGUUGUAAAGUACUUUCAGUCGGGAGGCGUUACCGACAGAAGAAGCACCGGCUAACUCCGUGCCAGCAGCCGCGGUAAUAC